GAGUGAAGAGCAUAUCACACAUAUAGCCAAAGAUGACUGCCUGAAACCCAUGCAAAAAGGCUUCUCUCUCUUUAUCUUAAUUAUUUUUGAAAUCACGUAUCAUAGCUAAUUAAAUAAGCCGUCCAAAAUGGUCCAGGCAAGUCAUCCUUGGCUAUGGAAUAAGACUCUUCUUC
rfam:Nicotiana attenuata strain TT chromosome 11, whole genome shotgun sequence.